rnacentral:rRNA from 1 species
GACGAACGCUGGCGGCAUGCCUAACACAUGCAAGUCUAGGGGUAGCAAUACCACUGGCGCACGGGUGAGUAACACGUAGGUUAUCUGCCCCCAUCACAGACAUAACCCCGGGAAACCGGGGCUAAUAUCUGAUGAGGUCGCGAGAUCAAAGCUUCGGCGGAUGGGGAUGAGCCUGCGGCUGAUUAGCUAGUUGGUGAGGUAAUGGCUCACCAAGGCGACGAUCAGUAGCUGGUCUGAGAGGACGAACAGCCACACUGGAACUGAGACACGGUCCAGACUCCUACGGGAGGCAGCAGUGAGGAAUAUUGGUCAAUGGGAGCAAUCCUGAACCAGCAAUGCCGCGUGUGGGAUGACAGGGCUUCGCCUUGUAAACCACUGUCGGACGGGACGAAAGGAGGCCUCGGGCCCUCUGGGACGGUACCGUCAAAGGAAGGGUCGGCUAACUACGUGCCAGCAGCCGCGGUAAU